UUACGGCCACAUCACACUGAAACACCGGUUCCCGUACGAUCACCGAAGUUAAGCAACGUCGAGCCUGGUCAGUACCUAGAUGGAUAGCCGCUUGGCAAUAACAGGUUAUGUA